rnacentral:rRNA from 1 species
GACGAACGCUGGCGGCGUGCUUAACACAUGCAAGUCGAACGGAAAGGCCCUGCUUGCAGGGUACUCGCGUGGCGAACGGGCGAGUAACACGCGGGUGAUCUGCCCUGCACUUCGGGAUAAGUCUGGGAAACUGGGUCUAAUAACGGAUAGGAGCUAUUUUUAGCGUGAUGGUUGGAAAGUUUUUUCGGUGUAUGAUGAGCCCGCGGCCUAUCUGCUUGUUGGUGGGGUAAUGGCCUACCAAGGCGGCGACGGGUAGCCGGCCUGAGAGGGUGGACGGCCACAUUGGGACUGAGAUACGGCCCAGACUCCUACGGGAGGCAGCAGUGGGGAAGAUUGCACGAUGGGCGCAAGCCUGAUGCAGCGACGCCGCGUGGGGGAUGACGGCCUUCGGGUUGUAAACUCCUUUCGCUAGGGACGAAGCUUUUUGUGACGGUACCUAGAUAAGAAGCACCGGCUAACUACGUG